UACGGAGGGUGCAAGCGUUAUCCGGAUUCACUGGGUUUAAAGGGAGCGUAGGUGGGCAGGUAAGUCAGUGGUGAAAUCUCCGGGCUUAACCCGGAAACUGCCAUUGAUACUAUCUGUCUUGAAUAUCCUGGAGGUAAGCGGAAUAUGUCAUGUAGCGGUGAAAUGCUUAGAUAUGACAUAGAACACCCAUUGCGAAGGCAGCUUACUACGGGAUUAUUGACACUGAGGCUCGAAAGCGUGGGGAUCAAACAGG
rnacentral:rRNA from 1 species